rnacentral:rRNA from 1 species
UGGGGGAUAUUGCACAAUGGGGGAAACCCUGAUGCAGCGACGCCGCGUGAGCGAUGAAGUAUUUCGGUAUGUAAAGCUCUAUCAGCAGGGAAGAAAAUGACGGUACCUGACUAAGAAGCCCCGGCUAACUACGUGCCAGCAGCCGCGGUAAUACGUAGGGGGCAAGCGUUAUCCGGAUUUACUGGGUGUAAAGGGAGCGUAGACGGCUGUGCAAGUCUGAAGUGAAAGGCGGGGGCUCAACCCCGCAGCUGCUUUGGAAACUGUGCAGCUAGAGUGUCGGAGAGGCAAGUGGAAUUCCUAGUGUAGCGGUGAAAUGCGUAGAUAUUAGGAGGAACACCAGUGGCGAAGGCGGCUUGCUGGACGAUGACUGACGUUGAGGCUCGAAAGCGUGGGGAGCAAACAGGAUUAGAUACC